rnacentral:rRNA from 1 species
GAUGAACGCUGGCGGCGUGCCUAAUACAUGCCAGUCGAGCGAACAGACGAGGAGCUUGCUCCUCUGACGUUAGCGGCGGACGGGUGAGUAACACGUGGAUAACCUACCUAUAAGACUGGGAUAACUUCGGGAAACCGGAGCUAAUACCGGAUAAUAUAUUGAACCGCAUGGUUCAAUAGUGAAAGACGGUUUUGCUGUCACUUAUAGAUUGAUCCGCGCCGCAUUAUCUAGUUGGUAAGGUAACGGCUUACCAAGGCGACGAUGCGUAGCCGACCUGAGAGGGUGAUCGGCCACACUGGAACUGAGACACGGUCCAGACUCCUACGGGAGGCAGCAGUAGGGAAUCUUCCGCAAUGGGCGAAAGCCUGACGGAGCAACGCCGCGUGAGUGAUGAAGGUCUUCGGAUCGUAAAACUCUGUUAUUAGGGAAGAACAAAUGUGUAAGUAACUAUGCACGUCUUGACGGUACCUAAUCAGAAAGCCACGGCUAACUACGUG